GAUGAACGCUGGCGGCGUGCCUAAUACAUGCAAGUCGAACGGACGGGCGCUGAGCUUGCGUCGUUGACGUUAGCGGCACGCGGGUGAGUAACACGUGUAUAACCUCCCUAUAAUUCUGGGAAAACUUCGGAACACCGGAGCUAAUACCGGAUAAUAUUCUGAACCGCGGUGGGCGAUGGUAAAAUACGGUCGUGCGGUAUCGUAUAGAGGCAUCCCCGCUGCAUUGGCUAGUUGGUAAGGUAAAGGCUUAUCAAGGCAACGAUGCGUAGCCGACCUGAGAGGCGGGUCGGCGGCCCUGGAGGUGGGACACGGUCCAGGGUCCUACGGGAGGCAGCAGUAGGGAAUCUUCCGCAGUGGGCGGAAGCCUGACGGAGCAGCGCGGCGCGAGUGAUGACGGUGUUCGGUUCGUAAAGCUCUGUUAUUAGGGGAGAACCUAUUUGUAAGGAGCUGUGCAGAGCUUGACGGUACCUAAUCAGAAAGCCACGGCUAACUACGUG
rnacentral:rRNA from 1 species